AAAUGAAGACUAACUCCUUCCACUCCUACCAC
rnacentral:tRNA from 1 species